rnacentral:rRNA from 1 species
AUUGAACGCUGGCGGCAGGCCUAACACAUGCAAGUCGAACGGUAGCACAGAGAGCUUGCUCUCGGGUGACGAGUGGCGGACGGGUGAGUAAUGUCUGGGAAACUGCCUGAUGGAGGGGGAUAACUACUGGAAACGGUAGCUAAUACCGCAUAACGUCGCAAGACCAAAGAGGGGGACCUUCGGGCCUCUUGCCAUCAGAUGUGCCCAGAUGGGAUUAGCUAGUAGGUGGGGUAACGGCUCACCCAGGCGACGAUCCCUAGCUGGUCUGAGAGGAUGACCAGCCACACUGGAACUGAGACACGGUCCAGACUCCUACGGGAGGCAGCAGUGGGGAAUAUUGCACAAUGGGCGCAAGCCUGAUGCAGCCAUGCCGCGUGUAUGAAGAAGGCCUUCGGGUUGUAAAGUACUUUCAGCGGGGAGGAAGGUGUUGUGGUUAAUAACCGCAGCAAUUGACGUUACCCGCAGAAGAAGCACCGGCUGACUCCGUGCCAGCAGCCGCCGUAA